AUACGGAGGAUCCGAGCGUUAUCCGGAUUUAUUGGGUUUAAAGGGUGCGCAGGCGGCCAUUUAAGUCAGCGGUUAAAUCGUGGGGCUCAACCCCAUUCUGCCGUUGAUACUGGGUGGCUUGAUUGCGGUCGAGGUUGGCGGAAUUCGUUGUGUAGCGGUGAAAUGCAUAGAUAUGACGAAGAACACCGAUUGCGUAGGCAGCUGACCAGAUCGCAAAUGACGCUCAUGCACGAAAGUGCGGGUAUCAAACAGGAUUAGAUACCCUGGUAGUCCGCACAGUAAACGAUGAAUACUCGCUGUUUGCGAUACACUGUAAGCGGCCAAGCGAAAGCGUUAAGUAUUCCACCUGGGGAGUACGCCGGCAACGGUGAAACUUAAAGGAAUUGACGGGG
rnacentral:rRNA from 1 species